rnacentral:piRNA from 1 species
UAAACGGGAAAAAAAAUUUAAUUUGUGA